rfam:Flavobacterium hercynium strain DSM 18292 43415_contig_8, whole genome shotgun sequence.
AUGGGGCUAAGCCGAAAACCCGAAAAAGAGUAGGCA